UACAGAGGUCUCAAGCGUUGUUCGGAUUCAUUGGGCGUAAAGGGUGCGUAGGCGGCGGAGCAAGUCUGAUGUGAAAUCCCGGGGCUCAACCCCGGAACUGCACUGGAUACUGCUCUGCUAGAGAUCUGGAGAGGAGACUGGAAUUUACGGUGUAGCAGUGAAAUGCGUAGAGAUCGUAAGGAAGACCAGUGGCGAAGGCGAGUCUCUGGACAGAUUCUGACGCUGAGGCACGAAGGCCAGGGGAGCGAACAGG
rnacentral:rRNA from 1 species